UGACAGCUGAACAAUCGCUGUGUCCGUGCCAAAAUCAAUAUUGCUAUGAUUUGUCAGACAUUAGUAAGCCCACCAGAGGGGAACAAGGAAAUAAGCAGGGACAACAUCCUGUGCAAGAUUACAUAUGUAGCUAAUGUGAACCCAGGAGGAUGGGCACCAGCAUCAGUGCUACGAGCAGUGGCUAAACGAGAGUAUCCAAAGUUCUUGAAGCGUUUUACAUCAUACGUGCAAGAGAAAACAGCAGGAAAGCCUAUUUUAUUCUAGUAUUAGCAGCAAUCAGAACAAGACUGAGUGAGCAUUCCGCGUUGGAGAAGUGACCAUGCAUAGAGCACUCCAUGCUGGAACGAAGGAUCUACAGUCUUUUUAUGGCCUGAGUUCUAGGCUUUGUAUACUGAAGUGAAGAAGUGUUGCAACACCAUGAGGCUGAAUAUUUAAAAGUAGCUCUCUCCUGUUAACUUUUCUUGCUGAAUCAGUGUGUAAUUAUAAAUACAUGUAUUGAUAACAUGUAUAUGGCUCUACUUUUAUUUGCUUGCUUUAGAAGAGCAUAUACAACUUUGAAUCACCAACAUGGGUUACCACUUUAAUUUUAAACAAGUUGCUGAAUUUCACUGUUGGCCUUCCUAAGAUACUUGUGCUGUUUUUGUGCAUGUCUAAAAAGCACAAAAGACAAAUGCACAUAUAGCAUAUUGUAUGUGCUUUAUAUGCACAAAACUUUGUAUGGUAUUUUGGGGGAGUUUGGAGGAGGAGCUUCAGUAAAACGUAGGUGACUUGUUGGUAGGUUUUGUUCUGCUUUGUAUAAUCACAGUUCAUUGCUGCUGAUUUCUAUAAUGAAUCAUCUUGUUACAUAAAAUGUCAGUUAAUAACUGAGGGCUGUCAAUAUCUUUAUGACUUUGCCUUUUCUAUUGUCUUACUCUUAUGACGAUCUUUAGUUCUGAAGGAGUAAGAGUGUGAAAAGCUUUAUUUUUUCCAGAUAUCUUUAUAUUUCUAUUGUAUUUUUUAGUUAUGUAAUAUGUGCCGCAGAAUUUUUGUUAUUGAACACGAUCCAGAAUUAUCUAGAAAGAUUCUGUAUAAGAGGGCAAGAGACUGCCUGAAACCUAGAAGACAUCUGUCCAUGCUAUAUGUGGAUUGCUUUCUUGCAUGAUAUCCAGGGUUUUCCCAAACUGUGAGAAGGUACACUAUAAUAUUUAUUGAAAUCAUUUGGAUUACAUAAGACAACAUUCCCAGUCUACAGUGAGGAUGAGUACAUUAUUUUCAGAUCCUGCAUGUGUUUUCCUCAUCUUAAUAAAAGCUAUUUUCACGUAGAAAAUUAUUUGCCUCUUGAUCAAAGACCCAUCAGAGCUAUAAGAAUGCAUAGUUCUAACUGGAAAGUUCCCUUUGGCUGCUGUGACAAUUUAAAUGUCAGAUGUUUGCCUAGCUUUGAUUCUGGAGAGGCUGAUCAGGAGAGGACUGUAUCAGGCUAGUAUUGACUUUGAGGUCUUUUCUCCAUGUCCUGUAGUUGGAAACUCUUCAGAGACUGCUCAGUGUUUCACUAACCUGUAUAUCUUGAGGAAAAUAGUUUCAGACAUUAUUAUUUUCAAAAGAAAGCUGAAAGGCUUAUUUGAUAUAGUGUGCUAGGUGCCUGAAAAGAAAUAAAUAUGGUAACAAUGAAGAUUUGGUAAAUGAUUAAAUGUGAUCUGCACAGUGUUGAAAAACUUCCUUUCUUCAUCUUCUGUGUAAAGAUGAAACUGUACCUAACACACGCAUGCAGAUUUCAUGCUCCAUAACUCUUCCCUUUUUAUUUGCCUUUCUCUAAUGGUGUGCAUGGAAUAUGCCUUAUUACAGAGUUAUUCUGUUAAUUUGACUAUGUAGAAAAGUGCCUAUAUGGUAAUGUUAGUAAGGCAAAUAAGAUGAAAAUUUGUACAUGUUUACUAUAUCACCAGUGAGCAUUUUAUAUACCAACGUUAAAAAAACAAAUCUUAUACCUCAAAUGUACUUCAUCUUUUUACAAUCAACCAAGCAGUGGUAUAUUCCACCAUAGACACUGAUGGGAACUUUAAAAAAAAAUAUCCAAAAUAUAAAGAGUUUAACUCCUUAUUUGCCAUUUCUGGUAAUUGUUGGAACACGGGCAAGUUUAUUAAUUUAAUUGGAUAGCUUUAUUUUACAAAGGUAUGGAAAGUUUACAAAGCAGUGUAUAAACUUAUAUCAUUAGUUGCAUUUGCACUAAAUGUGAUGUACUUUUGCGAUUUAUUCUGUAAAUAAAAUUACACUACAGAUACUAUUUGUAAAGAAAUGUUUUACUUUUAGAUAAAGGCACUGGUACUUCACUGUAGCUAGCCCUGCCCAGAGCUGUAAGAGGCUUUUUAAAGAAUUUAGAAGGAGUUGCAUGACUGAGAAAUCAGUAUAAAUUCACCUUUUUAAAAAAGAAGGAAGAAGGCCUCUCAGAUUGUCCUUGUGAGUUGCUGUUAGAUCCUGUCUUCUGGAAGGGAUUUUGCUUUUAGACAAUUUGCCCUGUCUCUUGAACCCAUCCCUCUUUUCAGUCACUGUCACAUAUCUGUGCAUUGUGAGUUCAUUUCUUCCUGUUAAUGGAUCAGUAGAAUUUAUGCAGCUGUGGUGGUCUUUGCAGAAGCAGCUCCUGACUCUAGAAUGAAACACUUUGAAAGGCUGAAAAUGCAGCAGUCUUCUCCAUCAGAUAUCAUUCUCUGACUAUCUGCAUCUGUUUGGAG